rnacentral:rRNA from 1 species
AAUUAAAUAUAAUUAUGAUAUCUCUAUUUAAUUUUAUUGUUAAAAUAAUUUUUUUAGUUUAAUUAAACCAAAAAUUAGUUAAAAUCUGUGAAGGACUUUAUUUAUAAUUAUAAAAGUAAUUUUUGUACCUUUUGUAUCAGGGUAAAUUAAAAAUUUUAAUUAUUAUUUAUAAUCCCGAAUAAAAGAGUUAAAAUUUUAAAUUAAUAUAUUUGUUUCAAAAAAUUAUUUAAUAUAAAAUUAGUAAUUAUAUGUUAUUCGUUCUUUUUUUUAUCUGGUUAUUGAGGAUUUAAUUUAAUUAUAGAGUAAUCUUUUAUAAUAUUUAAUUUUAAAUUAUUCUUAAACUAUUAGGGACAAUCUUAAUAAUUACUUAUAAUAUAAAUCAUAUUUGUAUUUAUUUUCUUUUAAAUUUUGGUUUAAGUUUUUAAUAAAUUUAUAUAUAAAAUUAAAAUUUUAUUUUAUUUAGGUUUUUACUUAAUUUUUUUAAAAAAUUUUUUAUUAAAAAAAAUAAUGAUUAAAUUAGUAUAGUUUAUAAAAUAUAAAUUAUGAAUUCAACAAAUUUUAUUUUCAACUGUUUACCAAAAACAUUUUUUUUUGUUUUUAUAAAAAAUAUGUUCUGCCCUAUGAUUGUUUAAAUGGCUGCAGUAUAUUGACUGUACAAAGGUAGCAUAAUAAUUAGUUUCUUAAUUAGGAGCUUGAAUGAAUGAAUAAAUGAGAAAUAUAUUUUAUUUUUUUUUGUCUAAAAUUUAAUUUUUAAGUAAAAAAGCUUAAUUUUAUUUUAGGGACGAUAAGACCCUAUAGAACUUUAUAUUAUUUUAUAUAAAUAAUUUAAUUAUAUUUAUUUAUAAAAAAUAAUAUUUUGCUGGGGAAGCAAAUAAAUUAUUAAUUUUAUUUUAUUAAUUCAUUUCUUUAUGUUUUUUUUGUUCCUUUUUAAGGGUUAAAAGCUUAAGUUACCUUAGGGAUAACAGCGUAAUUCUAAUGGGGAGUUCACAUCUAUAUUAGAGUUUGCGACCUCGAUGUUGAAUUAAGAUUAUCUAAAGAAGCAGAAUUCUUUAAAUUAGGUCUGUUCGACCUUUAAAUUCUUACAUGAUUUGAGUUCAAACCGGCGUGAGCCAGGUUGGUUUCUAUCUUAAAAUUUAUUUAACUUAUUUAGUACGAAAGGACCAGUAAGUUUUACAAAUGUAAUAAAUUUA